CGGGGGGAGCAAGCGUUGUUCGGAUUUACUGGGCGUAAAGGGCGCGUAGGCGGCCACUGCAAGUCAGUUGUGAAAUCUCCGGGCUUAACUCGGAAAGGUCAACUGAUACUGCAGGGCUAGAGUGCGGAAGGGGCAACUGGAAUUCUCGGUGUAGCGGUGAAAUGCGUAGAUAUCGAGAGGAACACCUGCGGCGAAGGCGGGUUGCUGGGCCGACACUGACGCUGAAGCGCGAAAGCCAGGGGAGCGAACGGGAUUAGAUACCCCGGUAGUCCUGGCCUUAAACGAUGGAUGCUUGGUGUCUGGGGUUUUAUAGUCCCCGGGUGCCGUAGCUAACGCGUUAAGCAUCCCGCCUGGGGAGUACGGUCGCAAGACUG
rnacentral:rRNA from 1 species